GGCGAUUCGGCCCAAAAGUCCGUCGGCCCACCGGGAAAAUGCCCGGUAUGCCAGAUGGCCAGUCCAGCCCUGGUUGUGGAAGGAGUACUCAGAUACACUCUCCAAAGACUCAACUGUCAAAAACGAACAGAAACAGGAAACUCACACUUUAAGGUCAGAUGCAGACGACAGACAGCUUCCUGCAUGCUGGAAAAACAGGGAGGCCAACAAAGGUCAUGGAAUAAGUGAGACAAUAUGGAAAAAUAGAUAUAUAUAUAUAUAUAUGCAGCAGAUAACUAAACUGCAAAUUAUUCAAGAAAGAAAUAUAGAAUCCACACAUUCAAAUACACACAAUUAUACAAAAAGCCGAAUAAUCACGGCAUCUAUUUAAACAGGUAGAUUUCCUCAGAGGGGAUGGAGUUAUAUAUAAUUGAUGGCUUGCCUCAGUCUGCCCAUCACUCGUGAAUAACUCCUCGCUAGAGCAUGCACACAAAUGGUGGUUUGUAAUCCUGAAAUACUUAAAUCAUAAGAACCUUUGAACAUUAAUCUUUUAGUAGGCUACAUGGGGGAAAGGGGGGAUUUUUACACAGGACUUCUAUAGAUGUAUUUAACUGAAUGACAUUGUGCCAGUAUACAGCUGAAUACCACACAGCAUGAAGGGCCUACAAAUGACAACUAAAAACAAAAUGUGAUCCUGCGGAACUUUUUGUUUAUAAUUUACAUGUAUGUUUUAACUGGGCCCUGGGAAGGUACAAUCGAAAAAGAGACACAAAACAUUGUGCAUCACUUUAUAAUAUCCAAUUAUAUUGAUUUUAGACAGAAGCUAUGUUACAAGGGGUAAUUAUUGAUUGAAAUAAAAUAAUACCAUUUAAGUUCAGUAAAUAUAAUGUGACUAUGGUGUUGUUGUGUUGCACCAUGUGUGCUGGCUGUAUAAAUAGAAAUAGAAACGUUUAUGCAUUACCCAUACUACUUUUAUUUAAAACAUACCUAUAUCUUGUAUAGGCUAAGAUUAAGAUCGUGGUGGAUGUUGAUGUGGUAAUGAUGGACCUAGACACACACACACACACACACAC